rnacentral:rRNA from 1 species
UUCCUACGGGACGCAGCAGUGGGGGAUAUUGCACAAUGGGGGAAACCCUGAUGCAGCGACGCCGCGUGUGGGAAGACGGUCCUCUGGAUUGUAAACCACUGUCCCCAGGGACGAAGAUGACGGUACCUGGGGAGGAAGCUCCGGCUAACUACGUGCCAGCAGCCGCGGUAAUACGUAGGGGGCAAGCGUUAUCCGGAUUUACUGGGUGUAAAGGGGGCGCAGACGGCCAUGGCAAGCCCGGUGUGAAAGGCAGGGGCAUAACCCCUGGACUGCACUGGGAACUGUCAGGCUGGAGUGCCGGAGGG